AACUGAUACUACCUGCGGGAACCUGCGGAGGGAUCAUUACUGAAGUGAUUUGGGGAUGUUGCUGGCCCUCUCUCAAGGGGGGGCACUGUGCACUCCUCGAAACAAUUCACAAUUUCCAUCACACCCCUUGUGCACACCUUGUAGGCACCCAAACCCACCUCCGGGUGGUGGGGUCCUAUGUAUUCCUUCAUCUCACACUCUGUUGAACGGUGCCAUGGGACGCAUCUAAAGGAUUAUUUG
rnacentral:misc_RNA from 1 species